UUGCAUAUCAAAUAAGCGGAGGAAAAGAAAAUAACAAAUGAUUUCCCUAGUAACGGCGAGUGAAGAGGAAAGAGCUCAAAGUUGGAACCUGUUUGGCCUAGCUAAACCGGAUUGUAGACUGUAGAAGUGUUUUCCAGGCAAGCCGAGUAAAUAAGUCCUUUGGAACAGGGCAUCAUAGAGGGUGAGAAUCCCGUCUUUGGCUUGAGCAUUUGCCUUUUGUGAUACGCUUUCAAAGAGUCAGGUUGUUUGGGAAUGCAGCCUAAAUUGGGUGGUAAAUCUCACCUAAAGCUAAAUAUUGGCGAGAAACCGAUAGCGAACAAGUACCGUGAGGGAAAGAUGAAAAGAACUUUGAAAAGAGAGUUAAACAGUAUGUGAAAUUGUUAAAAGGGAACCGUUUGGAGCCAGACUGGCUUGUCUGUAAUCAAUCUAGGCUUCGGCCUGGAUGCACUUGCAGGCUAUGCCUGCCAACGACAAUUUGACUUGAGGGAAAAAACUAGGGGAAAUGUGGCCCACUUGUGGGUGUUAUAGUCCCUUAGAAAAUACCUUGGGUUGGAUUGAGGAACGCAGCGAAUGCUUAUUGGCGAGUUUUCCAGGAAGGUUUUCUGAGGUACUACGGUAUCAAGGUUGAUCUUUUUGGUUAUACUUCUAUUCGCUUAGGUUGUUGGCUAUAUAUGACUCUAAAUGACCCGUCUUGAAACCACGGACCAAU
rnacentral:rRNA from 1 species